GGGAUUAGAUACCCCACUAUACCUUAACUAAAACACUAUCAACACCAGAGCAGUAUUAUAAAUAAAAUAAUUUGAAACUUAAAGAACUUGGCGGUUUUCUACAUCUUAUUAGAGGAGUUUGUGAUCUAAUCGAUAAUCCACGAGACACCUUACCAGUUUUAGACACUCACAGCCUGUAUAUCAUCGUCGCCAGCUAACUUUAUAGAACGUAAGCAACUAAUAAAAAAAAACCUCAGAUCAAGAUGCAGCCUAUAAACUGGGGAUAUAUGAACUACUUUAUUUUUUAACAGAGGAAAUAUAAUUGAAAUAAAUAUAAAAAAAGGAUUUAAUAGUAAUUAAUUACAGAAAUAAAAAAUGAAUUAAGCUCUAGAAUAUGUACAUACCGCCCGUCACCCUCCUCAA
rnacentral:rRNA from 1 species